GGAAGCUCAAAGAGAAGUCACUGGGUUUGAAUUCCCAUGAAUAAGUCACAUCAGCACUGCUGUGUAGAGAUGUGGAGCUUGACCAGACUGAGAAAGAAGCAUGUUUCUCUGACUGAGAGGCACAGUGGGAAAUUUCAGCACACAGAGCACACAGACAAGAAUGCAAAGUUGAUGUUGUGGUCUCUUCUGGAGAAGCAGGGGGUGCAGCCCUUCUCUUGGUGGGGUGAACAGGGGCAUCCCUCUUGCAAUGUGAGAAGUGCCUGCAGUGGGCACCAGGCCCUUCAAAAUCAUUGCUUCCCCCCAGGGGGAUGUAAAUGCUUCCCCUCCACCCACAGCUUCUUAAAAUGGAACAAAGCCAUCAGAUACAAGAGAAGGAUCUGCACUGCGCAUUGAUGGAGGUGGAGAGCUUUUGGGGCCAACACAGCAGACAACAGGAACACUGUUGUGUGUCCCCACUGGCGAUGCUGAAGACUAAACAGAGCUUGUUUUUGGUUCAGCCCAUUGAAAUCUCUUUCACUUGGGAGGAGUAUGUCUCCAUGAUGCUCUGCACGGGUUUUGGCCUACGCACCUUUAACCUCAAUGCAGGCAUCCAGGUAAAG
ensembl:lncRNA